rnacentral:rRNA from 1 species
GACGAACGCUGGCGGCGUGCUUAACACAUGCAAGUCGAACGGAAAGGCCCUGCUUUUGUGGGGUGCUCGAGUGGCGAACGGGUGAGUAACACGUGAGUAACCUGCCCUUGACUUUGGGAUAACUUCAGGAAACUGGGGCUAAUACCGGAUCGGAGCUCCUGCUGCAUGGUGGGGGUUGGAACGUUUCGGCGGUUGGGGAUGGGCUCGCGGCUUAUCAGCUUGUUGGUGGGGUAGUGGCUUACCAAGGCGUUGCCGGGUAGCGGGGCUGAGAGGGUGACCGGCCACAUUGGGACCGAGGUACGGCCCAGACGCCUACGGGAGGCAGCUGUGGGGAAUAUUGCACAAUGGGCGGCAGCCUGAUGCAGCAACGCCGCGUGCGGGAUGACGGCCUUCGGGUUGUAAACCGCUUUCGCCUGUGACGAAGCGUGAGUGACGGUAAUGGGUAAAGAAGCACCGGCUAACUACGUG